GAUAUGCUGCAAUGCGACAACAAAGACAAGGAAGAAGAAGACUGCUAGCAUGGAGGUGUUACCAAUUCUGAAUUGUUGUACAUGGAGGGAAAUGCUCUAAACACAUUUGUUGGACCUCAAUUCGUUUCGUGCUGACCAGCGACAGGGAUGGGAGUGAAAGCCUUCAUGUAUCCUGCUAGAGCCACCUGGACUACUCUGCAAAAGGAACAUAAACAACAUCAACAGAAAGCAAAGGCUGGAUACACUGAACCAAUCACAGGCUGUUUUCCACAUUUGGUGCAAUCCUUUGAGCUGAAUCUCCUACGGAGCAGGGACAAUACAAAGGAGACUAAGGCAUCAACCUGAGGUGACUGCGUGGCUGAAUUUAUGAAAACUCAUGCUUUAGUAUUUUUCAGUCAAAGUAGCAGAUAAUGGGACGCAUUCCCAUCUAUAUCAGAGAAUGUAUCAGCUUCAGUAUUUUUAAAACAAUAUUUUCAACGUGGCUCAAGACAAACAAAUCAUGUGAUCAUCUAAACCUUUGUAUGGAACAAACUGUUUUCAAACAUGCAAACUAUACAUCACAUUGUUUUAUGUGUAAUGUACUGUACUGUAAAUGUUGAAAACUGCUCUGCUUGCAUUAUGUUUUGCUUUUAUCUAUUUGUAUUGUACAGUAUUGUUUUUUAAUAUCUUCCUGC